rnacentral:lncRNA from 1 species
ACAUUUCGAACAACUUGUCGGGAAGGAAAGGUGGUGUAUCCUCAAUGUGGGUAAAACAUAGACUAAAUGCAGUUGUAAAACUGAAAUAUGUAUAUGUAUUCAGAUUUUUCCUUAUUAAUUCAAUUCUGUUUAUUUUAUCAAUAUUUUUUAACUCAUCUUGAAUCAUAAAUCAGAUUUGUGUUAAAUAUUAUGGGGACAGUGUAAUUGAGAGAUGAUGGGAGACCAAUGAAUCAUUUCUUAAAAGUACCUCAUUAAACUUGGAAUAUCAAAAUGUUAUGUGUCCUGUUCAUGAAACAUUUACAGCAAGAAAUUAGAUUCAAUCACUUCCAUGUCUCCUUCCAUCCAUCAGUUUCCUAACUUUCUUAAAGAUUUCUCCAUUUCUGAGGGUUUCUGAAACUCUGUUUUAGCAUACAUGGGAAAAAAACUGUGGAAAGAAAUGGAGAAAAUUCAAAAUGUUGAUAAUAUCACUUAACAAACAUAUAGAAGCAAACUAUGUAAUACUUAUGUCAGUAAUUAAACAUCAGUAGUUUAUCUUAC